rnacentral:lncRNA from 1 species
UUGAAGUUUUCCGUCAUUGAAGAACAAUGGUUGCAAAAAUAAUCUUUCCAGUCUCUUUUUGCAAAUUAUACUGGGGUAUUUGGUCUGGAUUUUGUCUAAGGGAAGGAGAUAUAUAAUAAUUUGGCCCUAAAUAUCCUCUAGCAUGAUUGGUGGCUUCGGUAAAAUCAUUAAAACCUUUAAAUAGAGGGGCUUUAAAACCUUGUAUGGAGUCUAAUACUUCUAACCAUGUUUGGAAGAUUCCGUUAGUUUUUCCAUGAAUGACUACAUAGUAUUUAAAACGAGGCCUACUUUUUUCUGCCAUGUAAUGGCAUAAAGAGUUCAUAGAUGCCAUAAAAUGAUUACGGUUUUGUCUAUUAUAAGAGAUCCAGAGGUUAUCUGCUAAACACCUUUGAGGUCUGUCUAAAACGUAGUCUGGUCUUACUCUAAAGGAUAUGCUGCUAUCAGGGUAUGCAACAACAACAACAACAAACCCAGUGUAUUCCCACUUAGUGGGGUCUGGGGGGGGUAAGAUGUACGCAGUCCAUACCUCUACCUCUGAUGAAGUAGAAAGGCUGUUUCCGAAAGACCCCCGGCUCAAGUCACGAGAUAUCACACAAACACAUAGGACAGCACAGCAGCAGAUGACAUAACAUAGAUACGGCACCCAUAAGGAAUAUAAAACAGAGUAAAGCAAGAAUGCAGGAAUAUAAAGCAGAGGAAAGCACCCAGAUUCGUAAUAAACAUGGAACACGGAACACGAAACACUGAAUACAGAAUCAUAACAGGAAUACACCCCCACCAAUUAAUUCCCUACACUAGCGACCCGAACUGGCCCUAAUCCUCUGCCGUAAUUCGCAUCUUCCAGACCUUCCUAUCUAGGGUCAUGUCCUCGGUGAGCUGUAACUGUUCCAUGUCCCGCCUAAUCACCUCACCCCAGUACUUCUUCGGUCUACCCCUACCCCGUCUAAAACCAUCCAACGCUAGCCUCUCACACCUACGGACCGGGGCAUCCAUGCCCCUCCUCUUCACGUGUCCGAACCAUCUCAAUCGUGCUUCCCGCAUCUUACACUCCACUGAAGUCACACCAACCUUCUCCCGGAUAGUCUCAUUCCGAACUCUAUCCCCUCGAGUCAGUCCACACAUCCAGCGCAACAUCCGCAUUUCUGCCACCUUCAUUCUUUGGGUGUGGGAGUUCUU